CAGACUCACAGGUUUAUAGUUCCCAGGAUUCUCCUUAGAAGCCUUCUUACACGAAGUCACAUUUCACAAGUUGAAUGGAGUAAACUGUUUGCAGGUUUUUCCAACUUUUCAACCAUUGCUUCUGCCACACCAAGGAGGGGAAUAUUCUGACCAUGAAGAUCCAGAGUAAUUUUAACUGGCUUUGUUGUAUGCAGACAGUGGGGAUUUCAAUCAUUUUCAGCAAGGGUAACAGAGAAAACAAACUGUAUGAAAAUAUUGCCCAAAGGGGCACUCAAAUGGGGCAUCAGAGAUGAAUGAGAGGUGAAGAGUACUGGAAACAUAUAGAUGAAGGAAUGAUCGCCUUAAGGAAGUGGAGUCUGAGGAAACCCUACCAAAAGGAAGUUUAGAUUCAUCCUUCCUGCUUUUGCUGAUGUGGCCAUGUAAUGCUGGCUCCAAUGGCAACACCCUCAUGGUGUUGUAGAGAAAACAACAGAUCACCGUGAACUUUGAGGAAUACUGUACAACCCCAUUAAUGAGUAGAGUCAUAAAAGCAAUGCUUAAGCAUGUCAUUGAUGUGCUUCAUUGUGCCAGUGUAGCUCCCUUGUACACACAUCCUUAUCAGUUAUAUGGUGGAGGUUUCCUUCUCACCAUGGAGCAGACAUGCAGAUCACAAUGGCAACAAUCAAAAAACUCUGUACGAGUCAUUUUGACACAUCAGGAUUUCUGUAGCACCAGCCUAAAGGAUUUGAAAUUACAACAGCCAAGUAGCUUCUUUCAACUUGUAGAACAUUAGUUAUUUAAAAUAAAUGGACUAAUUUGUCUGUCAGCUCUACCCUCAAAUGCCAAGCAGAUCAACAGAUAUUUGAAUGAUUAGUGUGCUGAAGUAUUUUUUGACCAAGACCACUUUUAUAUCAUGGUUGUCCCAACGUAACCCCAAGCUCUGUAAUACUUUGUUGCAGGGAACAGAGACAAAUAGACUUUUGACCUUGUGAGACAUGUCAAGUGUCAGACCUAAAGGUCUGAUGAUCAUCUUACAAAUAAGAGGUUUCUCCUCAAUAAGACUCUAUCUCCAGAUUACCCCUAAGAUUUCAUUGAACAAUAAAGUCCAAAGAGGAUCGCAGUACAAAUCCCUUUAUACUUUACCUGGGUAUUUACCUGUUUGUACUUGAGGAUAAUAAU